GAUGAACGCUGGCGGCGUGCCUAAUACACGCAAGUCGAGCGAACGGACGAGAAGCUUGCUUCUCUGAUGUUAGCGGCGGACGGGUGAGUAACACGUGGAUAACCUACCUAUAAGACUGGGAUAACUUCGGGAAACCGGAGCUAAUACCGGAUAAUAUUUUGAACCGCAUGGUUCAAAAGUGAAAGACGGUCUUGCUGUCACUUAUAGAUGGAUCCGCGCUGCAUUAGCUAGUUGGUAAGGUAACGGCUUACCAAGGCAACGAUGCAUAGCCGACCUGAGAGGGUGAUCGGCCACACUGGAACUGAGACACGGUCCAGACUCCUACGGGAGGCAGCAGUAGGGAAUCUUCCGCAAUGGGCGAAAGCCUGACGGAGCAACGCCGCGUGAGUGAUGAAGGUCUUCGGAUCGUAAAACUCUGUUAUUAGGGAAGAACAUAUGUGUAAGUGACUGUGCACAUCUUGACGGUACCUAAUCAGAAAGCCACGGCUAACUACGUG
rnacentral:rRNA from 1 species